CUUCUCUCGGUGCCGCCCCAUCUGCUUCUUGCCUCAGUUCCCCACUCGCACCCGUGCACCUCUGCGGCAGGCGUGUGAAAGGAAUGGGAGGGGGGGCUUUUGGUCGGGAUAUCUGGUCCUCCAGACCCCACAGCCUUGGCUGAGAACUUACUUAAGCCCACUCCAACUGACUUGAUAAAUGAGAAUCUUGACCAGCCCACUGGUAGGUAGAAAUGAGGGACGUCAUGUAUCCCUGAAUGGAAUAACCCGAAACCGCAGGUCCCGUGGAUGUGGGAAUCCACAGCACUGGCUGCGCUCCUAAGGCUCCUAAGUCCACUUCCGAACCUCAUCUAAGACCCUGAAAGCCAGACUAGGGACACAUUGGAUUAUUAUUAUUAUUUUUUUUAUUUGAGACAGGGUCUCGCUCUGUCGCCCAGGCUGGAGUGCAGUGGUGUGAUCUUGUCUCACUGCAACCUCCGCCUCCCGCGUUCAAGCGAUUUUCGUGCCUCAGCCUCCCGAGGAGCUGGAUCUACAGGUGCGCACCACCACGCCUGGAUAAUUUCUGUAUUUUUAGUAGAGACGGGGUUUCACCAUGUUUGCCAGGCUUGUCUCGAACUGUUGACCUCAAGUUAUCCUCCCGCCUCCACCUCUUAAAGUGCUGGGAUUACAGGCCUGAGCCUCUGCGCCAGUCCUACACGUUGGAUCUUUUCCCAGACCUCCUCCUCAGACGUGGAGCGUACAAAUGAUGCUCCAUCGGUUACUCUGAUCCUGACUUUGGGACUGCCAGAUAAAACUGGGAGAAACCCUACAUUUACUCUUACUGUAACGUAUUGGCUUGAAACUGCAGGUCAGAACCCAUUUAUGUUGAGACCAAAAGACUUUUUUUCCAAGUAGAAUGAAAUAGAAUAAAAUACAAUUGAAAAUACUUGCCUGCAUCACAGCAUAUUCACCAUGAAGACAUGAG
rnacentral:lncRNA from 10 species